GACCCCGUAGCUCAGUGGAUAGAGCACUUCCCUACGAAGGAAGGAGUCGGGCGUUCGAGUCGCCCCGGGGUCG
rnacentral:tRNA from 1 species